rnacentral:rRNA from 1 species
UACGAAGGGGGCUAGCGUUGCUCGGAAUCACUGGGCGUAAAGCGCACGUAGGCGGACUCUUAAGUCAGGGGUGAAAUCCUGGAGCUCAACUCCAGAACUGCCUUUGAUACUGGGAGUCUUGAGUUCGGGAGAGGUGAGUGGAACUGCGAGUGUAGAGGUGAAAUUCGUAGAUAUUCGCAAGAACACCAGUGGCGAAGGCGGCUCACUGGUCCGGUACUGACGCUGAGGUGCGAAAGCGUGGGGAGCAAACAGG